rnacentral:rRNA from 1 species
GAUGAACGCUGGCGGCGUGCCUAAUACAUGCAAGUCGAGCGAACAGACGAGGAGCUUGCUCCUCUGACGUUAGCGGCGGACGGGUGAGUAACACGUGGAUAACCUACCUAUAAGACUGGGGUAACUUCGGGAAACCGGAGCUAAUACCGGAUAAUAUAUUGAACCGCAUGGUUCAAUAGUGAAAGACGGUUUUGCUGUCACUUAUAGAUGGAUCCGCGCCGCAUUAGCUAGUUGGUAAGGUAACGGCUUACCAAGGCAACGAUGCGUAGCCGACCUGAGAGGGUGAUCGGCCACACUGGAACUGAGACACGGUCCAGACUCCUACGGGAGGCAGCAGUAGGGAAUCUUCCGCAAUGGGCGAAAGCCUGACGGAGCAACGCCGCGUGAGUGAUGAAGGUCUUCGGAUCGUAAAACUCUGUUAUUAGGGAAGAACAAAUGUGUAAGUAACUAUGCACGUCUGGACGGUACCUAAGCAGAAAGCCACGGCUAACUACGG